GAUGAACGCUGGCGGCGUGCCUAAUACAUGCCAGUCGAGCGAACAGACGAGGAGCUUGCUCCUCUGACGUUAGCGGCGGACGGGUGAGUAACACGUGGAUAACCUACCUAUAAGACUGGGAUAACUUCGGGAAACCGGAGCUAAUACCGGAUAAUAUAUUGAACCGCAUGGUUCAAUAGUGAAAGACGGUUUUGCUGUCACUUAUAGAUGGAUCCGCGCCGCAUUAGCUAGUUGGUAAGGUAACGGCUUACCAAGGCAACGAUGCGUAGCCGGCCUGAGAGGAUGAUCGGCCACACUGGAACUGAGACACGGUCCAGACUCCUACGGGAGGCAGCAGUAGGGAAUCUUCCGCAAUGGGCGAAAGCCUGACGGAGCAACGCCGCGUGAGUGAUGAAGGUCUUCGGAUCGUAAAACUCUGUUAUUAGGGAAGAACAAAUGUGUAAGUAACUAUGCACGUCUUGACGGUACCUAAUCAGAAAGCCACGGCUAACUACGUG
rnacentral:rRNA from 1 species